UUCGGUUUCAGAAAAGUUUCGGGGCAUGAUGGAUGCGUCCACACUCAAACUGACCAGCUCAGCAGUAAAGGCCCAGAGUCGGCUGGGAGAAGGCCAUGACAUAGUAGCCAAUAGGAAGUCGGCCAAAGAAUGCGGGUCCAUGGCUUUGCUUGUGUGUGACAUUGUCAACUGUAAGUGACUCCAGAAGGCCACCAGUGGGGACUUGACUUGGGAAGGCUUUGACUUCAAGAAGCUAUGACUGAGACUUUUGAGCAAAGCAGCAGACGGCGUCAACGCAGACAUCAAAGAGUUACAAGAGUGCAUCGGGCAUCUGUGACAAGUUUGGCUGAGUGUAUAUAGCCGUCGAGUGUUCUGUAUUUGUAAUAAAAUUAUCAGCUUUUUGUUAGUGUUCACUAAAGUGUAUGGCACAGAUGUCUGUUUUUGUUUUUUGUUUUCUAAGCUUUCAAAGCUGUGCGUCUUUCCUUGGACGUGUGCUUUGCUUUGUUGCAAAGCAAAAGUCAAAUGUGUCAGUAUGUUAACGUCCUCUAUCCUGUGCCUGGGACCACAUUUAGAAACUAUAAAUUUUAUGUU